rnacentral:rRNA from 1 species
ACAUGCAAGUCGAGCGGAUGACGGGAGCUUGCUCCUUGAUUCAGCGGCGGACGGGUGAGUAAUGCCUAGGAAUCUGCCUGGUAGUGGGGGACAACGUUUCGAAAGGAACGCUAAUACCGCAUACGUCCUACGGGAGAAAGCAGGGGACCUUCGGGCCUUGCGCUAUCAGAUGAGCCUAGGUCGGAUUAGCUAGUAGGUGAGGUAAUGGCUCACCUAGGCGACGAUCCGUAACUGGUCUGAGAGGAUGAUCAGUCACACUGGAACUGAGACACGGUCCAGACUCCUACGGGAGGCAGCAGUGGGGAAUAUUGGACAAUGGGCGAAAGCCUGAUCCAGCCAUGCCGCGUGUGUGAAGAAGGUCUUCGGAUUGUAAAGCACUUUAAGUUGGGAGGAAGGGCAGUAAGCUAAUACCUUGCUGUUUUGACGUUACCGACAGAAUAAGCACCGGCUAACUCUGUGCCAGCAGCCGCGGUAAUACAGAGGGUGCAAGCGUUAAUCGGAAUUACUGGGCGUAAAGCGCGCGUAGGUGGUUCGUUAAGUUGGAUGUGAAAGCCCCGGGCUCAACCUGGGAACUGCAUCCAAAACUGGCGAGCUAGAGUAUGGUAGAGGGUGGUGGAAUUUCCUGUGUAGCGGUGAAAUGCGUAGAUAUAGGAAGGAACACCAGUGGCGAAGGCGACCACCUGGACUGAUACUGACACUGAGGUGCGAAAGCGUGGGGAGCAAACAGGAUUAGAUACCGGGGUAGUCCA